AUCAACUUGUGAAAAGGCCUGGCCAGUUGUCAUGCAGAAAGUCUCUAUUCUGUACUGAUCUCUCUAUUUUCCCAUGGCGUGAAAUUGUCUAUGCGCUGGCUUUCUUAUCAACUGGAAGGGGUCAACAAUUCCAAUGCCAGGAGAGACCAGAGAGAUAGAAGUGAGAGAAUCCAGCUGGGUAAAGACAGUGGAGAGUGAUGGGACCAUCUGUGGCAAGUGGCAGGCCUUUCAGAAAUACAUGUCAACAAAGCUUGAACAGAACCUGAGAAGUAAAAGUGAUGUAUCAAAAUAGGGGGCACAAUCAAGUUGGUGGAGUGAGAGGACACGGAACUCAACUCCCUCCAGGAGCACAUCAAAAAUACAUCUACAUGUGGAGCAAUUCUCACUGAAAACUAACUGGAGACUGGCAGAAAGAGUCUUCUACAACCAAGGCUGUAAGAAAUACCCACAUGGAAUUGGUGUCAAGGGAAAAGAAGCCAUCAAGUCAAGACCUGUGCCCCUGAGAUGGAACUCAGGAGGGGGAUUACAUAGGCAGAGAUCUGCCCUGGUGAGUGAGUGGUUUGAGCCACAUAUUGGGCUCUCCAGUGCUGGAAUCUAACACCAGGAAGAUAAAGUCCCCUUGGCUAGUUGGAGGGCUGGUGAGAUUAAUAGGAAGGCUGUGGGAAGCCUGGACUCUGCCCAUGAGGAACACAGGCAUGCUUCGUUACUCCCGACGCAAGGUACAGAGGGUGAAUUGAAACUGCACAGGACAUUGGCCAGUUUCCUGCAACUGCCCAGGCACCUCAGCCUGAGCUGAGUGCCCGCUUUGGUCCCACUUGCUUCACCAUGCAGGUCCACACAGGGCAAGGGCUACAGGGGCCAAGGGGAGAGGCUCCAUCGUGAGGGACAAUGCAACUCAGGCUUGAAGUGGCAUCUCAGCUGGUGGGAGGGCAGCCAUUACUGAUGCUUACUGAGGCAGCUAUCAGAAAUGGUCCUGGGCCCUGACAGCAGCCAGGGCCACCAAAACCCACGCUCAAACCCAUGCCAAACACCUGCACCAGCCCCUUUUGCUCCAGCACUGCUCCUCUCUAGGGUGAGGGUGCCAGUGCUAGGAGGGGAGAGACCACACACUUAAAGGGAAUGGAGCCAGCCUAGACCCACCCUCAGGGCUUCUGCUCCAGCAACUUACUACCUACCCCUAUCCCCAAUAGGGUGGUGCUGGCUAUUGAGCAGAGGAAAAGCCUUGGCUCAUACCUGGCUCUAGCUCUAGCCACUCCAUCUCCAGCCCUACCUCCUAGCCAGGUGAUAGCACCCUAGGGAAAGACAUGACUCAUGCUCAUGUCAGAUCCAUGUCUCCCACCAAAGCCACUGGGCACAUGCAGACUGUAUAGGGAUAUUCCCACAUAAGAACAACCCUUCAAGACUGCAGUAGGUGACUUUUUCACCUAAUUUGAUAGAGACAGAGAAAGUUAAGCAAAAUAAGACAGGGAAUUUGUUUCAAUUGGAAGAAGAAGAAAAAACUGCUGGAAAAACAACUAAUGAAACAGAAAUAAAUAAUUCACCAGAGAAAGAGUUCAAAGCAUUGUAAAUAAGAAUGCUAACUAAAUUAGGGAAAAGAAUAAAUGAACACAGUGAGAAUUUAAACAAAGAACUAGAACUAGAGAUAAAUAUAAAAAGAACCAGUCAGAACUGAAAAUACAAUAACUGAAAUGAAAGACAUACUAGAAGGGAUUAACAUAGAUUAGGUGAUACAGAAGACCUCAUACAUGAUCUAGAAGAUAGAAUAUUGGACCCAGACAGAGCAGCAUAAAGAAAAACAGAUUUUAAAAAAAGAGAAGCGUUUAAGGGACCUCUAGGACAACAUCAAGCAUACUAAAAUUCACAUUACAUGGCUCCCAGAAGGAGAAGAGAGAAAGAGGUCAAAAAUGUUUGAUGAAAUUAUGGCUGAAAACCUCCCAAACCUGAGGAAGGAAAACAAGAUAUCCAGGUACAGGAAGCACAGAGGGUCCCAAACAAGAUGAACCCAAACAAACCCACAUCAAGAUAUAAUUAAAAUGGCAAGUAUUAAAGAGGGAAUUCUAAAGGCAGCAAGAGAACCACAAAGAGCCAUGUACAAGGGAACCCCAUAAAAUUAUAAACUGAUUUUUCUGCAGAAACUUUGCAGGCCAGAAGGGAGUGGCAUCACAUAUAUUAUGUGUUGAAAGGGAAAAAACAUACAACCUUGGAUACUCUACCCAGCAAGACUAUGACUUAGAAUACAAGGAGAGAUAAAGAACUUUUCAGGAAAGCAAAAAUUUAAAAUAUUCAUCAAUACUGAACCAACUCUAAAAGAAAUGUUAAAGGAUUUUCUAUAAGUGAAAAAGUCUGUAAUAAAAGGUAAGUACCUAUAGGAAAGGAAUAAAUCCCACUAGUAAAGGCAAAUACACAGUAAAGGCUAGGACAACCACUUAAAUAGGCUAGUAUGAAGAUUAAAAGACAAAAAAAAAAAACCCCAUAAAAUCAACUAUAACUAAAA